rnacentral:rRNA from 1 species
CACGAACGCUGGCGGCAGGCUUAACACAUGCAAGUCGAGCGCCCCGCAAGGGGAGCGGCAGACAGGUGAGUAACGCGUGGGAAUCUACCCAUCUCUACGGAAUAACGCAUGGAAACGUGUGCUAAUACCGUAUACGUCCUUCGGGAGAAAGAUUUAUCGGAGAUGGAUGAGCCCGCGUUGGAUUAGCUAGUUGGUGGGGUAAAGGCCUACCAAGGCGACGAUCCAUAGCUGGUCUGAGAGGAUGAUCAGCCACACUGGGACUGAGACACGGCCCAGACUCCUACGGGAGGCAGCAGUGGGGAAUAUUGGACAAUGGGCGCAAGCCUGAUCCAGCCAUGCCGCGUGAGUGAUGAAGGCCCUAGGGUUGUGAAGCUCUUUCACCGGUGAAGAUAAUGACGGUAACCGGAGAAGAAGCCCCGGCUAACUUCGUGCCAGCCGCCGCCGUAACAC